AUUAUUUUGGCAGAUGAAUGCGCUAGAUUUAGGAUCUAUUUAUGUAAGGACUUACAAAUAAUA
rnacentral:tRNA from 1 species